rnacentral:rRNA from 1 species
CAGCUAGUUGGUGAGGUAAUGGCUCACCAAGGCGACGAUCAGUAGCUGGUCUGAGAGGAUGAUCAGCCACACUGGAACUGAAACACGGUCCAGACUCCUACGGGAGGCAGCAGUGGGGAAUCUUGCGCAAUGGACGAAAGUCUGACGCAGCCACGCCGCGUGAGUGAAGAAGGCCUUCGGGUUGUAAAACUCUGUCGGAGGGGACAAAAACCAUCUAGGUUAAUAGCCUAGGUGCUUGAUGGUACCCUUAAAGGAAGCACCGGCUAACUUCGUGCCAGCAGCCGCGGUAAUACGAAGGGUGCAAGCGUUGCUCGGAAUUAUUGGGCGUAAAGGGUAGGUAGGUGGUUACGUAUGUCUGGGGUGAAAUCCCUGAGCUCAACUCAGGAAGUGCCUUGGAAACGGCGUAACUAGAGUGCUAGAGAGGUUCGUGGAAUUCCCAGUGUAGCGGUGAAAUGCGUAGAGAUUGGGAGGAACACCAGAGGCGAAGGCGGCGAACUGGAUAGCAACUGACACUGAACUACGAAAGCGUGGGUAGCAAACAGGAUUAGAU